rnacentral:rRNA from 1 species
AUGGGACUCGGGUAGUGGCGCACGGGUGCGUACGCGUGGGAACCUGCCUUUAGGUUCGGAAUAACUCAGAGAAAUUUGAGCUAAUACCGGAUAAUGUCUUCGGACCAAAGAUUUAUCGCCUUUAGAUGGGCCCGCGUUAGAUUAGAUAGUUGGUGGGGUAACGGCCUACCAAGUCGACGAUCUAUAGCUGGUCUGAGAGGAUGAUCAGCCACACUGGGACUGAGACACGGCCCAGACUCCUACGGGAGGCAGCAGUGGGGAAUAUUGGACAAUGGGCGAAAGCCUGAUCCAGCAAUGCCGCGUGAGUGAUGAAGGCCUUAGGGUUGUAAAGCUCUUUUACCAGGGAUGAUAAUGACAGUACCUGGAGAAUAAGCUCCGGCUAACUCCGUGCCAGCAGCCGCGGUAAUACGGAGGGAGCUAGCGUUGUUCGGAAUUACUGGGCGUAAAGCGCGCGUAGGCGGUCUAUUAAGUCAGGGGUGAAAUCCCGGAGCUCAACUCCGGAACUGCCCUUGAAACUGGCAGACUAGAAUCUUGGAGAGGCGAGUGGAAUUCCGAGUGUAGAGGUGAAAUUCGUAGAUAUUCGGAAGAACACCAGUGGCGAAGGCGACUCGCUGGACAAGUAUUGACGCUGAGGUGCGAAAGCGUGGGGA